CACUCUAGAGAGACUGCCAGGGAUAACCUGGAGGAAGGUGGGGAUGACGUCAAAUCAUCAUGCCCCUUAUGCUUAGGGCUACACACGUGCUACAAUGGGUAGUACAGAGGGUUGCCAAGCCGUAAGGUGGAGCUAAUCCCUUAAAGCUACUCUCAGUUCGGAUUGUAGGCUGAAACUCGCCUACAUGAAGCUGGAGUUACUAGUAAUCGCAGAUCAGAAUGCUGCGGUGAAUGCGUUCCCGGGUCUUGUACACACCGCCCGUCACACCACGGGCGUUGGAGACGCCCGAAGCCGAUUAUCUAACCUUUUGGAAGAAGUCGUCGAAGGUGGAAUCAAUAACUGGGGUGAAGUCGUAACAAGGUAGCCGUAUCGGAAGGUGCGGCUGGAUCACCUCCUUUCUA
rnacentral:rRNA from 1 species